rnacentral:tRNA from 1 species
CGGGGUGUAGCCCAACGGUAGGGUGCUUGCUUCGGGAGCAAGAGGUUGUGCGUUCAAAUCGCAUCACUCCGACCA